UCUUGUAAAGGAAAGUCCAUCCCUGUGUUCCAUGGAGUCGCCAAUGGCGGAGGGAGGGGUAGCAAAUCCGCACGGGGUAAAUCCGCCAGGUUGCUGGAAACCGAAUACCGCGAAUGACGGAACAAGGGAGUCAAGCAUACAUCUCCAGCAACUGUCAGAUUCAGAUGAGUUGCAUUCAGACGAAUUUCAGAUCCAAGCCGCGUGGAAGCAAGGAGGAUUAGAGCUCUCGGGUCCCAAGACAAGGGAAAUCAAGGAGAAUCCAACCGCCGGGAUGGAGAUUAGCAGUAGAAGAUCUGUUUCGGUUGCCCUUGGAUUAUCUUCAGAAAAUUUUGGAAUACAGGGAACCUAUGGAAUGCAAGGUAAACAACAAGAUUGCACUAUCUUUAUCUUAAAAUGCAGCAAGAAAAGUGCCAAUACUAUUGAAAUGAACUGCUAUUGUCAUGUUAUCGUGACACAUCCAGACAUUGCAGAAAUAAGAUACAUUGCACUGCUAGUAAUAAUCAGGGGCUUGGUCAAGAUGUGUAGGCACAGUGUAAAAUAUGGCAGUUUUAAUAUAGGGCAAUGUCCUGUAAUCGCGACAGACCAGAGACAUUGCAGAACACGUAGAAAAUUAGAAAAUUGUUUGGAACCAGAACACUGGCAGCAUAGUAGGAACUAGACAUUUAAAUCCUAUAACCAUGCGUCUGUAUAAAUUGGUGAAUAUGUAUACAUCUAGAUAAAACAGAAGAUUAUUUCAGGGGUAGACAGGGUGUGCUUACUUUUCUAUGCAGUGGUGUCACCAAUAUGAUUUAUUUUAAAAUAGGAGAAAGGAGGGAGCCAAUACAAGUGACAGAACUCAGGAAUUGUGGCCAGAUAAAUGAAACCAAUGUCGCUUCAAUACAAACCAACCCAGGUGGAUGGAAAAAAAAUGUGGGGUUUCCUAUAAAUCCAAUGUUAUGGAAUAUUGGAAACACAUUUGUGAAUAAAUCUAUAGAACUGAAAAAAUCUAACCAGUUGAAUUCAAAACUUAACAUUUACACCUAUGCUUCCAUUUUAGGAGAAUCGUGAAGGAUGGAGAAAAACGUGCUGAGUAUCGUGUACCAAAGGGGAUGGGCGCAGCUGAAAGAGCGAUGAGGAAGUUCUGUGAGUCAAAGGCUAAAGGCGAUGAUCCAAAAUAUAUUUUUGAACCAUAUGUUGGAUGGACA